CAUGAGGUGCAAGAGAGAGCUAAGCAACGACAAGCAACGAGAUGAGAAGAGGGCAAACGAUUAGAAGAAAGAAAAGAAAAAAAUCUUGUCCCGAUUUCGGGGUGUGAAUUGCUCUGUGAAGCCACUGAUAAAUCUCAGAACGAACCCAUUGUACCAAUCCACCGAAAAUAAGGACCCAGAUCAUUCACAGAGACUGAACGGCGAGAAAAUUACCGGUGAACAGUUCUAAGAGACUUUCAAAAGGAACCGAGAAGCGUCCUUCAUCCUUCUUCUGUUCUUCUUCCUCCUCCUCCUGUUCUUCAGAUGACACUAAAUAGGAGGUUGAUCGAGGAGUGUUUGAAUUGAUGAAGGGAGCCAAAGCAACCAUGAGCUACACCCUUGAUCGUGAAAUAUCGAUUGCUUGUUGAACGAAACUUGCAUAAAGCGGUUGAGUGGCUUGGUUUAUUAUCAUCUUCUCUAAGCAAGGAGAGAACUGUAAAGUCAACCAGGCUGCAAUAUAGACGGUCUAAGAAGAUAAGGGUGCCAACGUAACAAUGAUUCAUGAGACUUAUAAUUCUUUGGGGGAAGAUGCACGGAGAAAAACAAGUGAAAAUUUUGAUCCUAAGAAUCUUCUACGACUGUUCUUGUGGGCUCCUGAAACAAAGAGGCUUUUAACAGUUCAAGAAGAGUCUGAGUUGAUUGUCCAAAUCCAGGAGUUAAUGAUGUUGGAAUUACAGUUGAGAGAUUGGAUAAGUUACUUUUUAUGUCGUGAAUUUCAUGUUCAUUGCAGCAACCUGUAUGGGCUGACCAUGAUACCACUUUUCAGGAAAUAACUGCAAACUUUGAAGUCUAAGGCACAUUCGGAAUCUCCUUGGCAUUCUCGAUCCGAAUGAGAGACAGAUGAUCAGACUACGAUUUGGGCUCGAAGAUUGUAAAGAGAAGACUUCGUCGUAAAUAGUGCAAAGGUGUGGAAACAUUCCUUAUAAGGGUGUGGAAACCUCUCCUUAACAGACGUAUUUUAAAAUCUUGAGGCUGACGGCUAUACGUAACGCGGGCCAAAGCGGAUAAUAUUUGUUAGCGGUGGACUUGAGUUGUUACAAGAACCAAGCCUUGUACAAGCUUAAAUGAUGCUGCAACAACCAAUGACUCGGUGACUAAAACACUAUACCGAGCGGGAAAUCGCCAUCAAGCUCGAGAAAAAGAAGAAGAAACACAAUUCUAAUGAUUGUAUGGAUUGUGAAGGAUGGAUGGAUGGAGACCCAUCCAUUCUAAACGCCUUUCCUAAGACCAAAAAAGACCAACUCAUGCUGCCUUACCACAUGGCAGGACCCAUUUUAAUAGCAUCUCCACUUUUCUUUUCUGCUUCCCUAAAUAUAAUAAUAUAAUUAUAUACACUCUAA